GACGAACGCUGGCGGCGUGCUUAACACAUGCAAGUCGAACGGAAAGGCCCUGCUUUUGUGGGGUGCUCGAGUGGCGAACGGGUGAGUAACACGUGAGUAACCUGCCCUUGACUUUGGGAUAACUUCAGGAAACUGGGGCUAAUACCGGAUAGGAGCUCCUGCUGCAUGGUGGGGGUUGGAAAGUUUCGGCGGUUGGGGAUGGACUCGCGGCUUAUCAGCUUGUUGGUGGGGUAGUGGCUUACCAAGGCUUUGACGGGUAGCCGGCCUGAGAGGGUGACCGGCCACCAUGGGACUGAGAUACAGCCCAGACUCCUAUGGGAGGCAGCAGUGGAGAAUAUUGCACAAUGAGAGGAAGCCUGAUGCAGCAACGCCGCGUGCGGGAAGACGGCCUUCGGGUUGUAAACCGCUUUCGCCUGUGACGAAGCGAGAGUGACGGUAAUGGGUAAAGAAGCACCGGCUAACUACGUG
rnacentral:rRNA from 1 species